UACGAAGGGGGGCUAGCGUUGCUCGGAAUCACUGGGCGUAAAGCGCACGUAGGCGGAUUGUUAAGUCAGGGGUGAAAUCCUGGAGCUCAACUCCAGAACUGCCUUUGAUACUGACGGUCUUGAGUCCGGGAGAGGUGAGUGGAACUCCGAGUGUAGAGGUGAAAUUCGUAGAUAUUCAGAAGAACACCAGUGGCGAAGGCGGCUCACUGGCCCGGUACUGACGCUGAGGUGCGAAAGCGUGGGGAGCAAACAGG
rnacentral:rRNA from 1 species